rnacentral:rRNA from 1 species
UACGUAGGGAGCAAGCGUUGUCCGGAAUCAUUGGGCGUAAAGCGCGCGUAGGCGGCCCCGUAAGUCCGCUGUGAAAGUCAAAGGCUCAACCUUUGAAAGCCGGUGGAUACUGUGGGGCUAGAGUCCGGAAGAGGCGAGUGGAAUUCCUGGUGUAGCGGUGGAAUGCGCAGAUAUCAGGGGGAACACCAAUAGCGAAGGCAGCUCGCUGGGACGGUACUGACGCUAAGGCGCGAAAGCGUGGGGAGCAAACGGG